rnacentral:lncRNA from 1 species
ACUUAAUUUUUUCCAUAAGCUCUACACUUUGAAGAUCAAAGCUGGCCUCUCGUCCACUCUAGUUCAUGUGCCAGUGGCAAACAGAAGAAAUUCCAGGGUCUUCCCUUUGAACAGACUAUUUUGGCACAGAAGAGCCUCCUCCUCAUGGCAGCAUUCACUCAGUCUGACGGGCACAGAGUGGACUAAAGCCACAGCAGCUAAUCAGACUUCCUCAGUCAGGUUUCUCCAAAGUGAUGGUUACUUGUUUUACCUCUCCAACUAAGCUGUAU